AUCCUCUGUUUUGUCUUUUCAUGGU
rnacentral:sRNA from 1 species